GGAGGCAGGAUGGCUGGAGAUACAACUGGAACAGUAGUUGGGGAAAGCCUUGAAUUUGGGGAAUUGGGGCCGACCCUGGCCUUCUCCCCUUCCCUGGCCUUAUCCUCUUCCUCUCCUCUUCUCCUCUACCUGUCCCUGGGCACCCCACCCACGUCCUGGCUUCAGUGCUGUUGGUGCCAAAUCUCUCCUGACCUUUGGAUCCACAUAUCCACCAAUCUACUUGGACAUCUCCACAGGAUGUCCCUCAACAUCUCAAACCCACAUGUACACAAUUGACAACAUCCCCCUCCAGAUUUGAUUCUCCUGUACUCCCCUUUUCAGCACAUGCUUUCCACCUCCACCCAACUGCUCAAGCAAGAAACCUAGGGACCAUACUUGACUCCUUUCUCCCCUUUAUCCACUUACCCUAUCAGUCAUUAAGUUCUAGUGAUUCCACUCCCACAUAGCUCCCAAAUCCAUCUAGGACUCUUUUCUAUUCCUCUCCGUGUUUGGAUGGUUACAGUUGCCUUCUCACUGUUCUCCCACCUUCUAGUCUUCUCCACCCUCCAAUCCAUCUCCCAUUGCAACCAAAAGACUCUUUCAAAAAGGCUCCAGUGAAUCAGCAGCAUCUGUGCCAGCAGAAGGGCAAUACCCAUGGAUCAGGAUGAUUUCUGGAAGAGCAGAGCCAGAAGAGAGGCCAGUUUCAGGAGAGCUCCUCCAGAAUUCCUGAUGGAAACUUAGAAGAUGAGCAUUAGUGGGACGAACUACAGCCCCAAUUACUGUUCCUGUCCAGGGGCCACAACUAGUACUCAUUGCCUCCUUCAUUGUUUUCAAUCCUAAAUUCUCCUCACCCUCAGUUAGCAUCUCCUCUGGUCUCAGUGGCUUACCUGAGGAUAUGAGCCCCUGACCACCAUGCCUUCUCAGGCCAAGGUCGCUGCACUUGUCCCCUUAUUGUCAAAAUCGAGCAAGAGAGUACUGAGAAGCAUUCAAACUGGCCAAGAUGAUGAUUCUCCUUCUUGCCUGUUGGUCCCUGCGAACAAGGUGCCCAAAGUGCUCAGGUAGUAGCUAUAGCGUAUAGAUCAAUAGUACUCUUGCUGUAUCCUCUGGUGGAAGAUUCCCCCUCGGGGACAAAUAUCUCUAACCCUGCAGAGUCCAGAGUUGUGAGAGUUGGAAGCUCAAAUUCCACAG